GAUGGGUGAGUUGGGAAAAUA
rnacentral:miRNA from 1 species